GACGAACGCUGGCGGCGUGCCUAAUACAUGCAAGUAGAACGCUGAAGGAGGAGCUUGCUUCUCCGGAUGAGUUGCGAACGGGUGAGUAACGCGUAGGUAACCUGCCUGGUAGCGGGGGAUAACUAUUGGAAACGAUAGCUAAUACCGCAUAAGAGUAGAUGUCGCAUGACAUUUGCUUAAAAGGUGCAACUGCACCACUACCAGAUGGACCUGCGUUGUAUUAGCUAGUUGGUGAGGUAACGGCUCACCAAGGCAACGAUACAUAGCCGACCUGAGAGGGUGAUCGGCCACACUGGGACUGAGACACGGCCCAGACUCCUACGGGAGGCAGCAGUAGGGAAUCUUCGGCAAUAGACGGAAGUCUGACCGAGCAACGCCGCGUGAGUGAAGAAGGUUGUCGGAUCGUAAAGCUCUGUUGUAAGAGAAGAACGAGUGUGAGAGUGGAAAGUUCACACUGUGACGGUAUCUUACCAGAAAGGGACGGCUAACUACGUG
rnacentral:rRNA from 1 species